rnacentral:rRNA from 1 species
AGUGAACGCUGGCGGUAGGCCUAACACAUGCAAGUCGAACGGCAGCACAGUAAGAGCUUGCUCUUACGGGUGGCGAGUGGCGGACGGGUGCGGAAUACAUCGGCAUCUACUUUUUCGUGGGGGAUAACGUAGGGAAACUUACGCUAAUACCGCAUACGACCUACGGGUGAACGCAGGGGAUCUUCGGACCUUGCGCGAUUGAAUGAGCCGAUGUCGGAUUAGCUAGUUGGCGGGGUAAAGGCCCACCAAGGCGACGAUCCGUAGCUGGUCUGAGAGGAUGAUCAGCCACACUGGAACGGAGACACGGUCCAGACUACUACGGGAGGCAGCAGUGGGGAAUAUUGGACAAUGAGCGCAAGCCUGAUCCAGCCAGACCGCGUGGGUGAAGAAGGCCUUCGGGUUGUAAAGCCCUUUUGUUGGGAAAGAAAAGCAGCAGGUUAAUACCCCGCUGUUCUGACGGUACCCAAAGAAUAAGCACCGGCUAACUUCGUG